UAUCUGGUGAUUCUGCCAGUAGUCAUAUGCUGGUCUCAAAGAUUAAGCCAUGCAUGUCUAAGUAUAAGCAAUUUAUACGGUGAAACUGCGAAUGGCUCAUUAAAUCAGUUAUCGUUUAUUUGAUAGUACCUUACUACAUGGAUACCUGUGGUAAUUCUAGAGCUAAUACAUGCUAAAAACCUCGACUUCGGAAGGGGUGUAUUUAUUAGAUAAAAAACCAAUGCCCUUCGGGGCUCCUUGGUGAAUCAUAAUAACUUAACGAAUCGCAUGGCCUUGCGCCGGCGAUGGUUCAUUCAAAUUUCUGCCCUAUCAACUUUCGAUGGUAGGAUAGUGGCCUACCAUGGUGGCAACGGGUAACGGGGAAUUAGGGUUCGAUUCCGGAGAGGGAGCCUGAGAAACGGCUACCACAUCCAAGGAAGGCAGCAGGCGCGCAAAUUACCCAAUCCCGACACGGGGAGGUAGUGACAAUAAAUACUGAUACGGGGCUCUUUUGGGUCUCGUAAUUGGAAUGAGUACAAUCUAAAUCCCUUAACGAGGAACAAUUGGAGGGCAAGUCUGGUGCCAGCAGCCGCGGUAAUUCCAGCUCCAAUAGCGUAUAUUAAAGUUGUUGCAGUUAAAAAGCUCGUAGUUGAACCUUGGGUCUGGCUGGCCGGUCCGCCUCACCGCGAGUACUGGUCCGGCUGGACCUUUCCUUCUGGGGAACCUCAUGGCCUUCACUGGCUGUGGGGGGAACCAGGACUUUUACUGUGAAAAAAUUAGAGUGUUCAAAGCAGGCCUUUGCUCGAAUACAUUAGCAUGGAAUAAUAGAAUAGGACGUGCGGUUCUAUUUUGUUGGUUUCUAGGACCGCCGUAAUGAUUAAUAGGGAUAGUCGGGGGCGUCAGUAUUCAGCUGUCAGAGGUGAAAUUCUUGGAUUUGCUGAAGACUAACUACUGCGAAAGCAUUCGCCAAGGAUGUUUUCAUUAAUCAGGGAACGAAAGUUAGGGGAUCGAAGACGAUCAGAUACCGUCGUAGU
rnacentral:ncRNA from 1 species